GUACACACUUUACACUUCGGAGCGGUUGUCAGUUUUCGUACUUUGAAAAGAAAUAAUUAAUAAGUCCAAUUUGCAGCGAAAACUUAUACUUGCACUUAAUAUCAUUGCUCUUCGAACGCAAAGGCCUAUCUCAAUUCCCACGUAAGGCAUCUCACGUGCUGGAAACGCUUGGAGUUCGAACGAAAGAAGUAUGUAAAUGUACGAUAGCAAUGUGUUUAAAAUUACUAGUAUCGGCUACUGAUGGCUCUGAUGCGACUAUUCGUGUGGUUGUGCUUGUUGCGUUUGAAAUAUUGAAGGCGAUUUUACAUUUCUUGCCCUAUAGCACGCAACUCGAUAACGUUUUAGUGUAAGCGAUGUAUCUUCACCUGAGUUUUCGCAGAUUGAGCCUAAAGUUGUGACAUUUACAAUUUUCUACGGUUAGAGAGAGGGGGGGGGGUGAGAAUUAUUGUAAAUAUUAUUUCAUUGAUGUUCUAACCAGUCUAUUUUGCUAAGAAAAACGGCAAAGACUCGAUUCUGCGUUGUUUUCGUUCGUCCACAAACUCAAUUUUGACUUGAUCAUUUUAACGUCGCCACUCUGAUAUAUUAGCUCCAAAAACCUGGUGUGAUCCAAUCCUUCUCUUUGGUUGACAAAUCAGUUUGUGUCAAUGGGAAGUCGUUGUUGAUGGAAAGUAGUAGGCUAGUAAAUUUCGCAAAAAAAUUUGCGAAAUCUCUUAUAUCACUUAAUUUAUCAUGACUUUUAUAGUUAACAUUUAGUUCAGUCACCAAUAAAAUUGUUUGAGAGAAGCCACGGAGAGUUAUUGCAAACAUCCUCGAAUGGAACCUUUCCUUAAUUCAGGUUAAUUUGUAUAAAACUCAUUGAUUCAUUGAUUUCCAGAUCGUGUCUGGCAUCUGUCUCGGUUCGUGGUAUGUCGGCAGUUUGACAGGACAAGAGUAUGAUGUCUCUCUGACUGAGGAAAAACAUCUUAUGAACAUUUUGGCGCUGCCAAAUGUCCUCUGAUGAUACGUAAUUUUGGAAAUUGUUCGAUAUUAUUUUUGAAUUUUUUUUGAGUAUUUCGUCGGAAGUGGAUCUA
rnacentral:lncRNA from 1 species